rnacentral:rRNA from 1 species
UUCCGGUUGAUCCUGCCGGAGGGAACCCCUAUCGGGUUCAGACUAAGCCUUGCKAGUCAAGCUGGGGGCACUUGCCCCUGGCGGCGCACGGCUCAGUAAUACGCGGUCAACCUACCCUGGGGACCGGGAUAACCUCCGGAAACUGAGGCUAAUCCCGGAUGGGUGUAGGGUGCUGAAAUGCCCCUACGCCGAAAGUAGGCGGGAAAUGGACCGCUGAGGCCCCAGGAUGGGACCGCGGCCUAUCAGGUAAUAGGUGGGGUAACGGCCCACCUAGCCUACGACGGGUACGGGCCCUGAGAGGGGGAGCCCGGAGAUGGGCACUGABACAAGGGUCUAGGCCCUAAGGGGCGCAGCAGGCGCGAAGAUUCCGCAAUGCCCGAAAGGGCGACGGAGUGAACCCGAGUGCCACCCGCUGAGGGUGGCUGUUCCCCUGUGUAAAAAGCAGGGGGUAGGAAGGGGAGGGCAAGGCUGGUGGCAGCCGCCGCGGUAAAACCAGCUCCCCGAGGGGUUCCCACGCAUACUGGGCCUAAAGCGUCCGUAGCCGGCCCUGUAAGUCCGCAGUUAAAUCYGCCUGUAUACA